rnacentral:rRNA from 1 species
UGGGGAAUAUUGCACAAUGGGCGCAAGCCUGAUGCAGCGACGCCGCGUGGGGGAUGACGGCCUUCGGGUUGUAAACUCCUUUCGCUAGGGACGAAGCUUUUUGUGACGGUACCUAGAUAAGAAGCACCGGCUAACUACGUGCCAGCAGCCGCGGUAAUACGUAGGGUGCGAGCGUUGUCCGGAAUUACUGGGCGUAAAGGGCUCGUAGGUGGUUUGUCGCGUCGUCUGUGAAAUUCCGGGGCUUAACUCCGGGCGUGCAGGCGAUACGGGCAUAACUUGAGUACUGUAGGGGUAACUGGAAUUCCUGGUGUAGCGGUGAAAUGCGCAGAUAUCAGGAGGAACACCGAUGGCGAAGGCAGGUCUCUGGGCAGUAACUGACGCUGAGGAGCGAAAGCAUGGGUAGCGAACAGG